rnacentral:rRNA from 1 species
CGGAACACGUACGCAACCUCCUUUAACUGGAGAAUAGCCCCUCGAAAGAGGGAUUAAUACUCCGUAACAUGCCGAGAUGGCAUCAUUUCGGGAUUAUAGCUCCGGCGGUUAAAGAUGGGCAUGCGCCUGAUUAGAUAGUUGGCGGGGUAACGGCCCACCAAGUCUGCGAUCAGUAACUGGUGUGAGAGCACGACCAGUCACACGGGCACUGAGACACGGGCCCG